UUCUUGCCUGCGGGAGAGGGGGCGUUAGCGUGUGCACAAGGAGCGCCUGCUGCGUACAGCGGGCACCGAGCACCUACCCUACACAGCGGUAGAGACGGGGUUUCACCGUGUUAGCCAGGAUGGUCUCAAUCUCCUGACCUCGUGAUCCACCCAGCUUGGCCUCCGAAAGUGCUGGGACUACAGGCGUGAGCCACCGCGCCUGGCAGCAAACAGGUAUUUAAUGCCUGCUGUGUACAUGGAGCAGGUAUCACUGUACACCAAGUAUGCAUGUGUACCAUCUGUAUACGCUGAUUAUGUAAUGACUGCCUCCAGUGUGCCACAGGCAUACCGAGAACACCUGCCUGUACACAGCCUGUGCUGAGCACCUGCUGUAUACAGAAGUUAUAACCUAAGCACCUGAUACUCAGGAACAGGUUGCAUACUCACUGUAUAGAGCAAGUUGUGGAGAGCUUCCUACUGUACACUGGGGAGCUCCCUGACACCACCCCAUCGCACCUGUCCUGCAUUUCAGCCAUGGUCUUCAUUCCCAUUCCCACGAACAGCAGCAUGAGCCGCCCUCUCUCUGGCGCCUACAUCCCGUCAUCAGGGCUCAGCCCCUCCCUGCCCCAGAGACUGCCCCCCUGAGAGGCCAGGUCACCGUCUCCCUCCUGGACACGGCCCGCCUUGGCGGAUACAAUCUGACCAGGUCCUCCGCCCACCUAGACCCUCCAUGGCCCCCUGAUGCUCCCGAUUUAGUCUAAACUCUCCCUGCCGCCCACUGGGCCCUGUGUGUCUGGCCUCCCCUUCUUCCCCACCCUCCUCCAGGCCUCUCUGGCUCUCUGGACUCUAGGCCUCCUUUCCACCUCAGGGCCUUGGGAUGUGCUGUGUCCACUCCACGAACACAUCUUCCCCUUUCCACAUGGCAUCCCUUACCCUGGUCUCCACUCUGCAUUCCCAACUCAGGGAAGCCCACCGGCCCCACCUCCCCUGCUGGCACACAGCCCAGUCGUGUGUGAUUUCAUCACCAGUUCAUAAGCCUCCCUGGGAGUCUGAGUGGGCCCCCGGGUCUGUCCCCUGCACCCCCAGCACACAGCAGGUGCUCACCGAGCAUUCGGCACAACCGCAAACACCCUGUGCAUUCCCUCCCUUGGGAAACAGGCUGCCUCUGGCUGAAGUAGGACAAUAGGUCAGAAAAUCAGCCUCUAGACCCAAAGGGGUCCUAGGAGCAGCCAGCCGCUGCCCCUGCCCCAGCCACGCCCCUGCUGCCAUGGCCACACUCCUGAUGCCUUGGCCACGUCUCUGCCCCAACCGUGCCCCUGAUGCCACAGCCACGCCCCUCCCCCUGCCACUGUCCAAGCCACUCUCCUGAUGACUUGGCCACGCCCCUCCCCUGCCAGGGCACCCGCCCCGGCCACGCCCCUCCCGCCCCGGCCACGCCCCCGGCCCGCUCACCGAUGCGGUCCAGGCGGUCGAUGGCCACCGUCUCGAAGGCGCGCCGCAUCAUGGGGUACUCCUCCAGCACCUCGUUGAAGUUGUCCACGCUCAGCGAAUAGAGGCGGCAGUAGGUGUCGGCCCGCACGCUCGCCGUUCGGCGGCCCCGGGUGAGCAGGCAGAUCUCUGCACGUGGCGCGCAGUGGGGGGUUGCUGGACGAGGCGGGCACCGCGGCCCUCCCCGCCCAGGCACACUGCCCGGCCUCUGCACCUUGGCCAGCGUGGGCGCUUCCCACCCAGGCUCUCCCUGGUGCCAGCGCCAGCCCCAGCCCCAGCCCCCUGGCUCUGCACACCGCAGGGGUCGCGUGCCCCCUCCCCCUCCAGGCGCGCCCCCCUCAAGCUCACCCCCGAAGUACGAGCCAUCGGACAGCUUCAUCUCCUUGUUGCCCUUAGUGAGCACGCUGACCACGCCGUGCUGGAUGAAGUACAUCUUCUUCCCGAUGGUGCCUUCGCGGAUGAUGUAGUCACCCGGCUGGAAGACCUCGAACUUGAGCUUGGUCAGCAUGGCCGUGACGAAGUUGGGGUCGGCAUUGGCGAACAGCGGCAUGGAGGCCACCAGCUUCCGGCAGUUGAAGUUGACGAUCUCCUGCAGUGGGGAGGCAGGGCUGGGUCCGCUGCGGACCCCACUCCCGCUUCCCCCUCGCCCUGCCUCUGGGACCGGCUCACCUCUCGGACCCCAAUUUCCUUGUCUGAGAGACGGGCUCAGCCCCAUAGCCGGACCGAGCUGCUGCCGCCAAGGACGGGAGAAAGAACGCUCAGUGCCCCUUCGCUGUUUGACACCGUAUUGGCGACAUCUGCCAAUACAAUCGGACCAGGAGGGGCGGCUGUAGACAAGAGCAGUGGAAAGGAGGCCGGGUGCGGGGGGCUCACGCGUGUGAUCUCAGCAUUUUCGGAGGCCGAGGCGGGAGGAUCGCUUGAGCCCAGGAGUUCUAGACCAGCCUGGGCAACACAGUAAGACCCCCAUCUCUACCGAAAAAAAAAAAAAAAACAGCCAGGUGUGGUGGUGCAGGAAGUUGAGGCUGCAGUGAGCUGUGAUCCCCACACCACUGCCCUCCAGCCUGAGCGCAGAACAAGACCCUGACUCAAAAAAAAAAAAGAAAAUGGGGGAAAAAAAAGGCCGGGCGUGGUGGCUCACACCUGUAAUCCCAGCACUCUGGGAGGCCAAGGUGGGUGGAUCGCCUGAGGUCAGGAGUUCGAGACCAACCUGGCCAACAUGGUGAAACCCCACCUCUACUAAAAUUACAAAAAAUUAGCUGGGUAUGGUGGCGGUUGCCUGUAAUCCCAGCUACUCGGGAGGCUGAGGCACGAGUCUCUUGAACCCGGGAGGAGGAGGUUACAGUGAACCAAGAUCACACAACUGCACUGGAGCCCGGGUGACAGAGCGAGACUCCAUCACACACACACACACACACCAGUGGAAAGCUACAUUUGGUCAGACUAUCAGGUGAUUUUUGAAAAAUCAACAUGAAAACCAAGGGCCUGGAGAUGAAUCAAUGGUGUGGGAAGUCAGGGCAAUUCCCCUUAGCAAAGGCAGCUUCUAAGGACGGCAGGAACGUUCCAGCUUCGUUCUGCGUGGUGGUUACACCACGUUCACUUUAGGGACCAGCUAUCGAGCUGUGCCCUUAUGACCUGGGGCACUUUUUGGUACUUUUUUUUUUUUUUUUUUUUUUUGAGACGGAGUCUCGCUGUUGUCCAGGCUGGAGUGCAGUGGCACAAUCUCAGCUCACUGCAACCGCCGCCUCCUGGGUUCAAGCGAUUCUCCUGUCUCAGCCUCCUGAGUAGCUGGGAUUACAGGCGCCCACCACCACGCCCGGCUAAUUUUGUAUUUUUAGUGGAGACGGGGCUUCACCAUGUUGGCCAGGCUGGUCUUGAACUCCUGACCUCAGGUGAUCUGCCCGCCUCGGCCUCUGAAAGUGCUAGGAUUACAGGUGUGAGCCACCAUGCCUGGCCAUAUGUGGGUUUAAAGAUUUGACUUUGCAACUCCUAAACACCUAAAUAAUGACUAAGUAGCGUGGGUUGCCAGGGGCUGGGGACGGGGAGUGAGCUGGUGACUAACAGCCCAGGUCUCCUUCUGGGCCCAUGAGAAUGUUCUGGAGUGAGGCUGUGGUAUCGGGUGCAGCACUCUGUUAAUACUAAAAGCCACCGCAUUUUAUGCAUUUUGUGGUCUGAGUGUUAUAUCUUUACAAAUGAAUGAAUGGAAACCGUAGUCAUCAAAUGCAAUUAAACAUUCUCGGCGAAGCGAA